GAAACUUUUUUGCGCAUUCCCCGAAACAAAUGACACUAUUCUGAAUAUUUUCCUUUCUGGGCAGUAAAUAAAGUCUUUUAUGUUGACAAUGCUAAUAUUAUAUUUUAAAAUAUAUUUGCAUUUGUGUUUUUUGUCAUUUUUUAUUGCAUUGUAUAAAUCCCAGCGCAGAGAUCCACCAAGCUCAUUGUGAGAAAGCCCUGUUUCUUGGGAUAGCAUCAUGCAAUGAUACAGGUCCCUAUGAAGUUAUGCACAAUGCAAUUGAAGAGGCAUGUUAUGUCAGGCAAGAAAGAAGCUGAAGAGCUAUACUGCCUUGAGGAAGAAAGCGUAUCUACUGUGAAUUACAGACAGGAAAGAGGAUAUUCUCAGUUAAGUUCUCUCCACAUGAAAAAGUUUCAUUUGUCAGAAAUGACAGUGUCAGUAAAUAGGAUUCAAUUUCACAUUUGUUGUGUCAACAGUCCUGCUUCUCAAAUCAUUUCUAAGUACAUUAUUCCACUCUUGAAGAAAAAGCUUUUUCUUUCUUCUUUUUCUGCUUUUUUUUUUCAUAGUUGCUAGUCAUGGUUACAAUGCAUUUCCUGAUCUGAAAAUAUGUAUUUAAUAAUAAUGUUUGGCCUUCAACCACACAAGUUGUGAAAAAGAAAGUUCUCUUUCAUAGUCAACUACAGGCACUGUUGUUUAGUUUUUAUUCCAAUUCUUCUUAUUUGUAGAGGUAUUUACUCAUUAAAAUGUGCCAAUUAUAAUAGAGACAAUGGAAGAAAACCUGAAUGUAUAUAGGGAAGCAAAGUUCUCGAGGCCUUGAAAUUUUGCAUACUAAAAAGCAUUUAUAUCUACCUUUGGAAAAAAAAGUCAACGGACUACUGGUUAUUUUCAGGUAUUUUAGAAGAUACCAAAUAAGAGCAUUGAUUUUCCUGUGUCAAAUAGUCAGAGUUUCAGAUGAUAUCAAGAAUUACUACUACUCCUAUGCUUAGUAAUACAAGUCUAUGUAAUAGGGGUGGUUUUGAGGAGCAGUAGUAUUAGCCAUUCCAUGGGUACUUGGUCAGUGAGGUACAACUAUUAAUGUUUAGUCAUGUUAGUUUGACAUGAGAUGGAGUGCAUGACCUUCUUUAUGAGCAGCUGGAAUGGAAAUUUAUAAUGCAAUACUCAUUUUGGCAUGUUAUUACAACCAUCAGUAAUUCUCCCCCUCAUGGCCAACAAAUUGUUGUCUGCCAACCACGGCAGCCAGUCUGAAAUAAGUCACCAAAUGAGCGUCAAUCAUAUUAACACAACUGAGGCUUGAAAUCAACCUUUAGGGACAGGCAGCAAAUAUUCUAAAACUAGAUGAACAAAAGGAAACCUUUGCCUCCAGUUAAGGGAGUAGGAGCUCUGCCAAACUUUCUGCCACUAGAAAUCACUCCCAGCGUAUUUCUGCUUCUAGCUGCUAUUAUUCAUCUUCUCCAGGAACCCCUUGGAAUGGCACAGGCACUGUGGAGCAGGAGGUAAGACAGAUGGCUAAAACAUCUUCUCCUGUCACGUCAAAUCCAAGCCUUACAGCAGUGCAGGAACACAUGGGACCUUUUUGUUCCUUCUGUUUAUCUCUGAUGGACACUCUGUACUAUAAAUCAAUUCCCAGAGCAAGAAAUGAAAAAUGAGCAAUUAGGCAGCCUACUUCAGCGCUCUGCAUUCCCGCCAUUGUCCAUCUAGUCUCAUGUUAAGCAAUUAAUAUAAGAGAAACUAUUACACAAAACAUCUGUAGUAACCCUGCUUUUUUUUUUUUUAAUUUUUUGUUUUGUUUGUUUUUUAAAAAAAGCUAUCAAAGGUGAUUUCUGGCACACGGUGUCUUCCUUCUCCAUGCUUAAACUUUGCACUUGCAUGGCGGCGCUAUUCUAACGGCUUGAAUUCCUCAUUCAGUCAAUCUAGACACAUUUAGUUCACUUAAGCAACCAUUUCUAAUCAGACGGCAUACAUAAGUGGAAGAAACCUUCAGGGAGCAAAAUAGCUGCAGCAGACAACACAGCAGUCACUAUAAGCUGUAUCACUAUCAACUUGCAAGAUCAAACUCUUGCAGGACUGCUGGCCAAUACCAAAGUACAAGAAGCAUGAUUCCUCCCAUUGCUGCCAAUUAUUCCUGUGUUCAAAUCCAAACAAGGAAUGUAACCAAAAACCAUUAUCAGACUCUACUCCCAAUCUCUGCACUUUUGCACAUGAUCCUUGGAAUAUUUUGAGUUAAGAUGGAGAAAUUAAGGCACAGACUUUGACAAGGGAAUGUGCCCAGCUCCUUUUGGACAUCUAAAACACAGAGAUUGCUUUGAAAUGGUCAUGCCUAAUCUGCUUAUUUUCAUAGAAACCAGAUAUUAUUAAAAUAACUUUUUCACCGCAACAAUAAAACCCCCCAGGCUCAGAACAUACAUUAGACAGCCUCAAGAGGGCAGCGCAGUAUUUCAUGAAUCAUUUUAUACAAAGGUAAGCAUGCUUUAACAAACAGCAGGCUGUCAUGGCAGAGUAUGGUAGAAUCAUACAGUGCCAUGACAGCCUGAAGACCAUAAGGUCUUCCCUGAGCCUCCUCUCCUCCUGACUGAACAGUCCCAGUUCCCUCAACUGCUCCCCAGAAGACUUGCGCUCGACACUUCACCAGCUUUGUUGCCCUUGCCUGAUCAUGCUCCAGGGCCUCUGUGUCUUUCUUGUACUGAAGAGCCCAAAAUUACACAGCGCUCGAGGUGCGGCCUCACCAGAGCUCAGUACACAGGGACGAUCAUCUCCCCAGUUCUGCUGGCUGCACCAUUUCUGAUACAAACCGGGAUGCCAUUGGCUUUUUGGCCACCUGGGCACACUGCUGGCUCAUGUUCAACUAACUGUCAAACUAACACCUCCAAUCUUUUUCCUCUGUGCAGCUUUUCCAGCCACUCUGCCUCAAGCCUCUAGAAAUUCAUAGGGGUUUUGAAAUCAAAGUGCAAGUCUCAGCACUUGGUCUCUUUAAAGCUCACACAGUUGGCCUCAGCCCAUUGAUCCAAACUGCCGAGAUCCCUCUGGAUUAGGGCCUUCCUACCCCCCCAGCAGGUUGACACUUCCUCCCAACUUGAUGUCAUCUGCAAACUUACUUAGGGUAUACUCAAUCCCCCGUGCACCCUCAGAGCAUAGAAUUAAGAUCACUGUAAACAGUAUCAUAAAUAAAUAAGAAAAAAAUGAGAGAAGCUGAUGGCAGUAACAUUAGCUCCCGUUUUGUUCUUGUUCAUGUAGCACCUCAUGACACUUAGUAGCAGAUGAUGCAGGGUUACCAAUGUAAGUCCCAUAUGCUGUAGCAGCCACAUUGCUUAUCCUUACUUAAUCAACAUCUGUGAGCAACUAGUUCAAAACUUUCAUAGUUUCUAGGGGCUGCAAUACUGAAAUUCUUGGCUGCAAUUGGCAAUAAUUCUGCUCAUGUUUUCAAAUGGUACAAAGAAACUUAGGUUUAUAGCAACGCUAACUGCAAACUGACCUCAUGACUCUUUGAGUACAAUUGCCCUGUAUGGCACUGCAUCAUAUCACCCUUUCAUAGAAAUAUUACACUCCAUCCUGAGAUAAGAUCAUUUUCCCCUACCACUACUUCAUUCGGAAGACUGUUUCAGAAAUUCUCUAAAGAACCUUAUGUAAAAUUCUAUUGCAGAGUUAUUCUUAGCCAAUUUAUGUUUUGGUUCCUGUGCCAACAUGAUCUGCUAGCUUCAGCACUGCCUCUCUUUUGCUUAAUUAAAUGUGCUUUUGUCUUUAAUGCUAUAGCCAAGCACUCCCAGUCCUUGAUCAUCUCAGCAGGACUUCUCUCUGCCUGUUCCCCUUUUAAAUUCCUUCCUUGAGCAUGGAUGAUAGAUAAAAUUAUAUUCCAGAUGAACAGCCCACAGUAGCCUUAAAAUUUCUUGAGAUCUAUAGGAAAGUCCUCGUGACAACACAUAUGCAUUUCAUAGCACGGGUGGGUUAGGGAUGGCAACACUGACAUGUACUCUGGAGACCUGCAUGAACAAUAAACUGAGCUGUUAGCUGCAGGUACAGCCUCAUAUUCUGUUACUGCUGUAUAAAAAUGUUUAAGUCAAAAAAGCCCCUGUCUCAGGUACCCCAUGUUUGAAUGGUUAUAAUACUCAUCUAUGCAACUAUAUAACUAAUAUCACAGCUAUAAAUUGAUAUAGAAAUCUAACAGAAACCAUAUAUCUUAAUAUAUUUUCCAGCUCACUGAAGUAGUACAUCUGCCACAAUCACAGUGAGGCAUCAAGGUUAGUUAAGAGCUUUGACUAAGCAAAUUUAAUUGAACAGAGAUUACUGACAAUAUAUUUAUUACCUGCUGCCAGGCAGAUAUACUGUGUUUUACCUUAUUACAAUUGUAAAUAGCAAACAUAAAACAUUAGAAAAAUAUGUAUUAAAAAGCCAAAGAAACAACAACCAAAAAGAACAAGUAUAACAAACCUGGAUCAUCUUUAUUUCAAGCAACAUAACUCCUACUCUGACCUUGCUAUGGAUUCUACAUAUUAAAAACACUGGGCUUUAUUAGAAGCCACUGCAAAAUUAUUUUCACUUCCAUGUCAUCAGGUAACAUCAAGCCACAUUAAAUGAUGAGACAGUAAUGCUUACAUUCCAGCUAACACUGUGUAUAAAAUGCUAAUUUUAAUUAUCAUACCAAACUGGGGUAAAAGUCAGAAAGUUCCUAAGAAAUUCACUCUUCAUAGAAUUCGUAGAAAUCGUAGCUUUCAAAAUGUUUGUAUCUGAAUUCCAGAAAAUUGUUUCAGCAAGUAAUGAAUUUUAAUGCUGAUACUGUUGUUACUGUGUUUUCUCAACUUCUUUACAUAGUACUGAUAUUUAAGAAUCACAGAAUGGUUUGGGAUAGAAGGGACCUCCUCAUCUAGUUCAGCCCCCUGCUGCAGAAGGGUCCCCUAGAGCAGGCUGCCAAGGACCACACUCCAAACAACUUCUGAAUAGCUACAGGGAUGGAGAUUCCGUCACUUCUUUUUUAUUUUUCCAUUGGAUUUUCUAAAAUAAAAUCUCUCUCACUCCAAAAGAACUCCUUCUUGAACUGUUCUUGUUAAUUAAAGAGAAGCUUAUCUAAGAACAUUUUUAUGAUCUCUGCUUCUCACCAUCCUCCUCACAAUUGCAGUACAUCACACAAUCCAAACUGUUUUCUAACACCAAUGUUAUUCUCAAACCAAAGGAUAUUUUGUUUGCACUGGCUGACUUCUGACAACACUGAACACUGGACGUUUUAUCAUCUAAAAAGCCGAAUUCCUACUCUGAUAACAAAAGUAACAUCUGCUUUAAAAACAACAACAAAAAGCAAAAUUAAGAACACCCCAGAUAAUUUGACUAAAAUGUAUACUCUAAUCCAGUGCUUCCUAAUCCAAGUGGGCUCUGCAAUUGCAGAAUUCCUAUGAAUUUAAAAAUAGGAAAUCUAGAUGCUGGGAUCUCUGGUUCUUUCUGGCAAUGUUUUGUGCUGCUGCUUGCUCUAAUGUACGGCCUGUACAGAAGCAACCUACUGCCCUCUUGACAUUUAGUACACCAUCUUCUCUCAGAAUUCCAACUCAGAGCUUUGGCUGUAAAGAAAGCUUCUACUAACUUUUUUUUUUUCCUAGCAGAUCUCUGUUUCAUCUACCCAGGUACCUAGCAAUAGUCAAUUACAUAAAGAAAGGAGACAAGAUAGGAUCUCUUUUGCAUGUAUGCAAUUAUAUUAUGGUAGUAAGAAAGCAUAGGAGUGAGAUACUCAGUAGUGGAUGCUGUGAUUAUAUAAGCCACCCGCACAGCACCAGCUUAGUCCCGCUGUUCUUUCACUCCCCAACCUCUCUUUGGUGAGAUUCAGGGUAUGUUUUAUGUUUGACAAAGCAGGGACAGAGAGUGUGUCAAGAGGCAAGUUUGGGCUCCCUGAAUCUCAGUCCCCAAUACCCAACCCUAGAAAACAUUAAGGAAGAUAGAAAUCUGCUUUGACACUUGCCAGAUGUCAAAGCUUAGAACUAUACCACCUGAAAAGAAAUAGCAGAAAGACACAGCUCUAGUUAUAUUUUUCUCCAUCCCCAGUGAACAUGCUAUGCCAAGAUUAGUGUUUUCUGGGGACUGGAUAUACACUGAGCCUUCUCAGCUGGAAAGCCAUAAGUAUUUUCUGGUCGGCUUGUACUGUUUCAAAGCCACCCUGGAAGCAGAGCAUAGCCAGAUAGGCCCUUGUGUUCAUGUUUCAUUCCAAGUGCCUGGAAUAUACAUCCCUCCCCUCAACCCCAAGCUUAUGUAACUGGAUGGCUCACUUUGUUAGCAGCAUUGCAUUAUUUAUUAUCUUGAGAAAAUCAGCAUCACUAGGUCUAAAAUUCACUGGAAAAGAAUUAAGUGAGCCAACAAGUAAAGCUUUUCACACUUACAUAGAUAUUAUGCUCCUUUCCUAAUAUAUCUAAAUAUGCUGUGAUCCAAAUGUUCAGCAAAAUCUGGUGCCUGUUAGCUUCUGUUAAAAUCUUCAUGGAACAAUUAACUAAUAAACAAAAGGCUUAUAUAUAAUGAACAACAUAUUUGGCUGGAGAGUGAAAAAGAUUAUAAACAGCUUUUGUACCCUGUCCUCUAAAGUCUGAAAACAGACUGUCAGCCCCAAACACUCCAGUUACGAGAACACAUUGGAAAGGAGAUGGAGAAAGGUAGGCUCAAAACAAAUCAAGAUCAUAAGGCAAAAUACAGAGUUACAAAAAUGAUGUUGGAGUCUUGUUUCCUAACAUGUGUUAAGAUUUCUAUCAUUGCUGAUGUUAAUAAUUGACAUGAAAUACAGAGAGAGUUAGAUAACAGCAGGAACGCUCAGGCCAGGAACCCAUUUCAUUUUCUAGUGGUGUGAGGCACAGGGUAAGGGGGAAAUACACAGUGUCAUGACAGAGAUGCUCUUGCUUCACCGUGUUACUCUCAAGGUAUUUUGUAUUGUCUAGAAAGAGGAUUCUGGUUGUGGCAGGGAACAGGAAAAAGAACAAGAUGUGAAUUUAGUGUUUGUGGAAGUGAGAAUUAAUAGCAAAACCUUGAGCUGGGUAUAAGCUCUGCAGGUAUUGUGCAAGCCUCUUCACACAGCACUGCCAUCUCACCCCAAUUUAUGACCUGGAACAUAGAAAAUUUUACUGCUUUUAGCUGGGACUGCAAGUUGUACCAAAGCAUACAAUGAUUUCAUAAAUCCAAGGGAAAGAGGUGAAAGCUCCAAGUUUCUUUAGGUCUUUUGCCUAGCUCAGGUGCAGCCUGGAGAAAAUGUGAUGGCACACUGAAGCAUCUGAGCCUGCAGAUCACAGUGCCAACAUUUGAAUGCAGGGGUUAAAUACAGUGAUUCAGUAUUCCCUAACUCAGAGUGCAUGAGCAAGCCAGGAUUUGUAGCACAAGCAAAUACAGGUAAACGAGUAGGAAUGGCUUCAGAAUGGCUGCAGUUUACACUUUCAGGUAGGUAGACUAUAUCUUGAUUUUUUACCACCAUACCUGACAGGAAUAACAUUUUUAUCUUUCACAGAGUUCCAGAAAAUCUCAGCCAGCAUGGGCUGCUGAGAUCAGUGGGCUCAUUGUCCAGCUAGCUGGCCCCAAGAAUUCACCAGGGAGAGGGAGUUCAGACUUUCACUUCUCUUCACACUGUAAGAGUCCCUGCAUUCUGGUUCAUACCACCAAAAGCCAGCUUUAACCAGAGGUGAAUCUACUACAUGAUAUAACAAACGGCUAUUGCUCUUAUUUGCCCUGUAUGUUCUUAUCUCACAGUUCACAAUUAAUCACCACCCUGGAAAUCAAACACUGAAGUAUUUGUACAUUCUCUUUUAAAAUACAUUUCAAUUUCCUUUUAGUUGAACUGCCCUGUCCUUCGCCACACCUGCUCAAUGCACCAUUCUGCAUAGCACACUCUGUACAUACCUGGAGAGACUGAUGAGUCACACCAGACAGGGAACUUAAUCACCAUAGAAAGAAUAUGAGAUCAAAAAGUGUGAUGCAAUUGGAGUAUAGAGGGAUGUCUGUUCAUUAGGAAUAAUCACAUUUGCAAGUUGAUGAUACUUACAGCACCUCACGACUAAGGACUAGGUUCUGCUCUCAGUAACUUUAGUUUGUGAUGGCUGAAAUCUAGCUUACUCUUCUACUUGGAGACACUUCCCUCUUUGCAGAGAUAAUAAUUGAGAGAGGCUGAUUUUAUGGGAACAGCAGUACAGAUGAAUUGGUCUCCUAUCUAACAUUUAUAGGGAAGGUUGCCUUGGUAUCAGCAUAGAUCACAGGUACAGUUGGUUUCUCUGAAUUGCCAUUAAGCUCAGAGUACUCAUCAGGUUUUAGAACAAACACAUUAGAUUCCCAAGCCAUCACUGUCCCUCAUCAUACAACCUCUAAAGGAUUGCUCUGCUAUCUUUCUCAGUUUGUGAUGUGAUAUCAUUUGUUUGCAGGUACUGAAAUGGUUUUGCCACUCUGUAAUGUAUUCCACUAUGAAUUAAUAAGUUAUAUUUUACAAACAUGCAGAUGGCUCUGGAGAUUGUUAUGUUUCUAUGUGUCUACAGUCAUAUUACUGUGGCAAAUGCUCUCUGUAUAUUUGUUUAAAAGAAAACAAUUUCCAUACAGAGAAGCCUAAAACUAUCUAGUAGUGCUGAAAGCAAGACUCUAGGUGUUACAGACCUUGAAAUUGAUUCAGUGGAAUUCUUGUCACAAAUGCAAAGUCAGGUCCAGCCCAUUAUCUCCUUGGGUGAUUGCUACCAAACUUUCAAGAAUAUAGUUUUAGCAAUACCAGUGCUGAGAAAGAUCAGCUUCUUACAGUGUUAUGAACUGACCUUAGCCAGAAAUUGUUGAGCACAACUUGUAUGGGGAUGGUGUACCCACAGUGUUUCUCUGCAGUCUGGACCCUGUGACAUCCGGAUGGAGAAAGUGCAAUCUUUCUCUACAAAGAGACACUAUUGUACACAACUUUCUCCUCUCUCCUAAAGGUAGAACUAACCAAUAAUAUUGAGAACUGAAAAAGACAACAUGUGGAAGAGAGAGACACCACGAUCAAAUAAACCCUGUUUUCAUAGGAAAUGAGGCUACUGUAGUGGUAGGAAAUACCACAUAUCCUCAGAACUAAUACAGAUACUGAGCUCUGGGACUGCUGAACUUAGAUUAUGAAGGAAGGAAAAUGAACUAAUACUUUAUUCAAAGUUUUACUGGCAGCUCAUCUGUUCUGAUGAUUUAACUGUUGUUUACACUGAAACCAACAUGCAAGAAGAUUAUAGCCUGUGACUUCCAAGGGAGCAUGCUGUGGAAUUUUUGCAUUCUGCACAGUGUUGUGGGUUAGCAACCACUCCUGUGUGCUAACACAGAUCGCUUCAAUCCCUUGUGUUUAUCCUGUAAACAAGAAAGUGCUCCACACUGUUGUCCUAAAGAAAAUAGCUGAAAUCUGAAGCAGCUUGGUCCUGUUUAAGCUGUCCCCAGACACCCUGCCUACAACGCGGGUUUGUUUUUCAUUUAUUUGUUAAUGAAAACUGGCAGCAGAUGCCACACUUUUAUUGAACAUAUUAAUCAUUGAAAGAAAACAAUAUUUCUGCUGCUCUGGCAACUCCUGCACUAUGGGUAAAUAGGGCCUACUGCCUUCCUGUUAACCCUGUACGUAAUGUAGAAUCCCCUAAAGCUUGGGGGUGUUAUGCUAUAGUAUACUUCUGCUGUAAGAAACGAUGCUUAAAUGUGGAUUCAAGUAAGAUCUGUAACCAUCAAAUUGGCUUCUGAUUCAAAAUUCAACUUGCAGUAAUAAGAAAUAUAUGACAAGUGCUUGAAUGCCUGUGAGAAAUAAGAAUGCAGCCUUUAUCCAGCUGCUAGUUUUCACAGAAUAGUAAUAAGAAAAAGAACAGUUUAACACUACCAAUUCUUGUCAUUCACAGUGCUAAAAUAAACAGUAUGUGCUCAAUGCCUGUAAGGCACUAGGGAAUGGCUGCUGCAUAUGCCACAUAUUUCAUUCAUAAAUUUAUGGCUACUAGCACAUUUAUUUACUCAUAUUAUUAAAGGAUAACAUAACUGGAGGUGUAGGUGCACAAGCUACCAUAGAUAGAAUCAGCCCCUAAGCAAGCCUCUUCUCCUCCUCACUUCUCAUUCAUUGGUUAAAUUACUAAAGGUUCUCUUGGGGUAACUUUUCUCUUGAGAGCAAGCUACCCUGCAUACUUUGUUUUGAUAAAGAACAGCUUAGGUAGUUUUGUACCUAAGAGCUCCAAACAUUUAGCUUCAUUACACUUCUGCUGAUUUGUGCCAUGCAGCAGUUACAGCACCCUCCCUACCUGUGUCAACCCAGCCAGAAGAUAGGAUGGCACCAUUUAGAUGGGCUAAGAAAUCUUAAACUACUGCUAACAAGUACAACCUAUUCUUUUCAGCAAAGUUGCACUAAUGCAGAUGAUAAUCAUACCCUCUGUGUUCUCUUAUUCCCACAUUCAAAGCUUCUGAGGAAGCAAGGCAAACCAGAGAAGUGCAGUUCACAUAGCUAUGGAGGUACCAAUCAAAGACCAAAUGAAUCUUAGAGUACAAACCUGAAAAAUAUUGUACUCAUCAAAAAACCUGAUACUCGUAUGUAGUUUCUAUAUUUCCUACAGUGGAAAAAAAAUCCCUGAAGUUGAUCAAUUAAACUCAGUGGAAACAUCAAGAAAAAACUGUAAUCUUCCCGGUGCCUCGGUUACAAUGUACACUUGGUUACACAGAAGCACACACACCACUGAUGACCAAGUCAUCUGUGCUUCAAAAUUAUAGGAAAUUAUUCUGAGUAUAUCGAAGGAGAUGACAAGAUGUCCCUGGGGGUGGUCCGUACAUUCUUGUCUACAAAGAACAAAUUACCAUGGAAAACAUUUUAAUACAGAAUAUUUUACCAUAAUUAAUUAAGCAUUACUUUUCUCCUAUAAGACUAGCUGCUAAAUUCUUUUGUCAAGUCAGCCCUAGGAAGAAUCGUUUAAAUGCAUGUCUUCAUUUGUCUCUAUAAUCAAUUCAGUGCCAGUUAUAAAUAUGCCAAGUAAAUUAGUUUUACUUUGCUCUAUGUGAGACCAGGUCUCAGCUGUAUCCAGUGUUUUCCACAUAUCCUCCUUCUUUGUCCAGAUGUGAAUACAGUAGCAGAGAAUACCCUGGGAUAAAAAAUAGUGGCAGGAGGCACUGCAACGGAACAGUUUUAUGGGCACUCACACAGUUCUCCUGGUACUUACAGCGAGGACAUAUUUCAGUUUCUCAUUUUGGACAUCCUGGCAAUAGAUUUCCUCUCAUAUGGGAAAUUCAGAACUUGUUAAUUUUAACUGGUAAUUCAGUUCAAAUCUCUCCAGCAGAUACUGCAUUUUCCAUCCUGAAACAGGUGUUUUCUAGUGAGAACUGGGCUCACUCUGGCUUGGACGGGCGUUAAUACAAACUUGUGUACAGUCUCAACAUUCAUAAUUCUUCAUGUUAUAUCUUCUAGCUUUCCUCCAUCCUGCAGGUUCACCCUAAGGGUGUAAGUUUAUUGUCAACAGUAUUUAUUAAAUUAAAGACAGUGACAGCUGCAGUUCCUACAAUAAUAGUAAUUAAGGUUUUUUUCUUUCUACAUGAGUUUGAUUAUAGCAGAAUGAAUACAAAUGCUAGAAUAGCAGUUCUCUUCCUUAUUAGUUCUUAUGAUCUACAUCAUAUGAAAAUAGUUAUGAGUUAUUUGAGAGCAAUUCCUUAACAAUUCUUAAACCAAUUUUCUGGCAUUUGCUAGUGAAACCAACUGUUCACACGAGAUCACAAAAAUUCUACUAUUUUUCUCCCAGUUUGUUACCUGAAAUGCUUUAAAGUACUUACGGAAAAGGGCCAAUGAAUGAGAUUUCAGACUAACAAAAGUUGUUCAAAACCCCAAUGCAAUCACGACACUGUGCCUGCUGUAGCUUUAUUUGCUUGUCUAAAGAGGGCAGAUCUAUUGUUGGUACGAGUUAAUAUUACUACUGUACCUCAAGCAGCAAAACUUAGAAAUAUUUGAGUAUUCUUCUCACUUCAAGAGUUUGGAUGCAAAAUUUGACAUGCCUUAUAGGACACUGGUCGCUGGAAGGUUGCUUACCCAGUGUGUCUUAAGCAAGGAAUUGCAACUCAUGGCAUUUAUCUAUCUCUAUAUUUAUAUCCUGUUUUUCAAUACUCAAAGUCCUGGCCUCAGUAUUUAGCUGAUUCUCAUAAUGUUAGCUCUACUACUGCUACAGCUCCUAGGGUGAUCUGAGUUCUAAAUUUUUGUUUUUGUCUUUCAGAUAUCUGGAAAGACUAUGAAAUUCAGAAUUGAGAUGAAAACUAUGUGAUAAAUAGAAAAAAAUAACAGAGGAGCUCACCUCCAAGCACUACACUUUUGAAUAGCAUUUUCUGAAGUAAUAACUUGUUUUUCUCACCUAAAAAGACCUAAUUGUAGAGAAAGAAAAAACCAAACAAGAGUGAAAUAAGGAGCUUACCACCCUCCGAGUAAAGAAUUUCUUCCUUACAUCUAAUCUAACUCUACACUCCCCUAGUUUGUAGCUUUAGGGAUGUCCAUGACCUGUGAACACAGAGAACACACUUUCCAUACAUGGUACAUUUAAGUCCAUUAUAGUCAACAGAAUUUAUCCUUAGUAUAAACAGCCCGUGUUUGAGCUAAAAGAACAGGGCUAUUAAUUUUUGUUCAUGUUAGACAAGAAUUGGGAGAAAAUUUAAGCUUGGUUUCACCAGCUAACUGCAUGUAAGUACAUUUAUUCAUUUAUAAAAUGAACUGAUAACAAAAUUACUAAACAGAAAGCAAACCUAAUUAUUUUACAUUUGCCCUUGGAAAUCACAUCAGUCCUCUAACAUAUUCCGAAAAGGGGAAGUAAGAAGAGAGGUCAGUGAAGAGAAAGAGUGAAGUCAGAAUAUUCAUAACUUCUUCAAAUGAGCUUAGAAUAUGUUUUCUUUUCCAGAAAACAAAUAAUGGCUAAUUGUUUUUAAGCUCUUCUUUUAUUGUGUCUUUAUGCACUGUGUAUUUAGUUACUGCAGUUUGCUUAAAAAUUACAUCCUAGCUGAAAUGCUCUGUCUACUCUUAUGGUAGAUUUAUUUCAUUGUUCUUCCUUUCUUUUUUAGCUUUUACUUUGAUGCAGACAGAUGCAGCUGAAAAACUCUACCCUAUGAGGAAAUCAUUAAGUCCCUGGGCAACCUGAUCUAUCUGUGGUGUCCCUGUAUGUUGGAGGGGAGUUGGACUAGAUGGUCCUCAGAGGUCCCUUCCAACUCUAAGGAUUCCAUGAUUUGUAGUCAAGAUACAAAGUAGAUUGAUCAGUAGAUAUGUGGGAACUCAUGCUCCUAAGAGCUGCAUCUGCAGAACUGUUAGGUUAUCACCAUCCCCAGCCACUGGCAAGUUGUUCAAGUAGGAUAAUCCAACAGACUUUUGCAUGUCAAACUAAAAAAAAUCAAGCCAACAACAAAAUGAUGGAAUAAAAAUAGGAGUGAGGAAUUGCCAGGAUGAAAGUUUGUUAGCUAACCAGCACAAGCAUUUGCUUUCCUGCAGACCUCAUCCAUAGAAGCGGAAAGGGAACAUCCUGUUCUGCAGUAUUUCAUAAUGUAUGGCUGGGACAAAAUGCACAUCGGCACAGCAGGCUGAUAGUCCAGAGGAAGAAAUCUGUGCUUUUGUAAUGGUGUGCUUUGAUGCUGUUAGCAGCAGCAAUGACCAAUAAACUUCUGAAUGACGUUAAAGACAAACAGUGCUUCAAACCUUUUACACUACAAACCCAAGAAAACAGAGUGAAACAUCAAUUUGUAAUUAGAAUAUGUAUCAGAACAAAAAAUUAUGCAUAGCAUGGCACCAGAGGCCUGAAUUUCCUGCCAUCCACACUUGAAGAAGCAGAUAGUCUCAUUCUCUCUGAGUAUUUCACUAGAUUUGGAUGGUGACAUGCACAUCAGAGACUUUCUGUGUACAGAUGGAUUAAGAACAAUGAGUCAGCCUCUCUGCUUUAAUAAAGAAGAAACAAACUUAUAAAAACACCCCAAUGAUUUUUAGUAAAUCAGACAAGGUUAUACAAAUAAAAUACUAUAGCCAUGUGAUUUCAGUAAAGCCAAUUACGCCUAAAUAGCCACAAUGCAAAGGUGUUAGCUGUUCCUUCCUAGUUACUCAUUAUCCAAUCUUCAUUAAUCAUAAAAAAUGUCUUUACAUUAUUCUGGAUUCUAUAACCGCAAUCUCCCAAUCAGCGUUUUGCUCACGUGGCCUCGUUUCACCUGCUAUCCUCUCUUUCCUUGCUAAGAUAUUUUGCAAUAUCUUGUAGAUAUUCCAGUUUGAGUGGGAGUUUCAAAGCAGGGUAGUAGGCUAGUGCAGAUGGAACCUUUUCCAGGUUAAUCUGGAUGUUUUUGCUUUCUUCCCCACAUUCUAUGAUAAUUUUUUUACAUUUUAUAAUCAGUGAAGAUGAGUAGAGAAGCAUUUAAAUAUAUUUCAGUUGUUUCAAGGGCUGAUAAAUCAAACUAAGCAAAUGAAAAACCAAACUCCUCACGCAGAUUUUCCCCCCAUUUCCAGUUCUAAAUGAAAGACCUGUAUAGAUCAUUCGUAGUAAUAAAUGGAAAAUAUAAUAUUAAAAACACAAGAAUGAAAACUCAGUUUAUCCGGUGAUGCAAUUCCAUUCUGUCUGUAGCAGCUAGCACUCAAUGCCAGGUGUUAUGCAGAGAACAUAGAUGUGAAUGUACACCGAUUAAAAUAAUUAAAAACAAAUGCAGGAGUAGAAUCCACACAAACUGACAGUCUGAAAGCAAAUAACAAAUGCAUUCAUUACACAUGCUGUGGAUGCCAUUUUUUCUUUGUCUAUAUUCUGUUCACUGCAAUUGCUCUGCAGUUGUAUAUCCCUAUGAAAAUAAUGGUUAAUACUUAAGAAAGAGAAACAAUAGCUGGUAAAAUAACUGCUAAUUUCUUAGGCUUCGGGAUUAAAGAAAAAUAUUUCUCCAAAAAAGUUGUAUGUCUUACUUAUUAGACAUUGCAGACAUGAACACAUUAAAUUGAGACAGGUUAAAUGAUACAUCUAGGCCAGGUUAUGUUUAUUUGCAGAAAGUUCUACAAGCAAAAAUCAAAUGGGAAGAAUAAUCAGAGGAGCAUCCGUCAGAUCUUCCUCCCCCUGCCCCUCCACACUGAAAAAAAAAAGGAUGCAAGAAAGCAUAAUUCUGAAGAGCACUGCUGAAUACAAUCCAGGGAGCUCACCAAGAACUUCACUGAUGAGACAAGUAAACAGGUCACUGUCUUAGCUUGCCGAUGCCUCUUUCUGUGCUCAUACUCCAGGUCUUCCAGCCAUAGAAUACUUUCUGGAAUUUGUCAAGAGUGAUGCCCUUGGUAACAAACCCUUCUCAAAGCUGAGACUACAAGCACACAUGGUUCCUUCCAGACACAGGUUUUUCAGAAUGGUUGCCCCUGGAGUCAUUAUCCCCCAGCAAAAUGUCAGGAACCACAUCACAGUUUUACACAAAGGUGAAAGCUGAAGAAUCCAGCAGCCUGCUGGCUUGCAAAGCUGCCUUCUAUCUUGUUGACAAAGGUCUAAUGGAGCCUUGAUACCAAUGCAAGAAAAAAGUAAAGGUUUCUUCACAAGGCAGGUGUGCUUCGAACACCACUCAGUGUCUUUGGAGAGUCCAUCCCUACCCAUUUACCCCUUUAGAUAAAUUUUGUCUUCUUCUUACUAUUAAUUUGUCUUUUACUAUCAAAUUACAGACAUUUCCAAUUUUUUCCACGUUUCUGCUCUUCUCUCUGAGAAAAGCACAAUGCACUGUAUUCACAGAUUUUAUAACGCUGUAAUAAAAGCCCUGUACCAGACUGUAUUUACUGUCUACAUCAAUCAUAUUUGCCUUCAUCAGUAGCACACUUUCAGGUGCAAUGGCAUACAAGCUACAUAAACAGCACUGUCACUUUGACAAUAAUAAAGCAAUAAGGAACACCUCUAAAACAAGAAACCAAAUUCCCAUAAUUCAACUCUGACUCCUCCUCUCCAAAAUCCUUGCAUGAAGCUGACAAGCAGAUGUUUUAUUCUAAUGUCAUGCAUGGUAACAUAGAAUAUAACGUCACAUUAGUAUCAAUGUGGAUACUAUAAAUUGUGCCUUGUAUUCUAUGCAUUCUCACUUGACAUGAAAAACAUACAGAAAACAAAAUAUGUAUCAAUAAAAUAUGUGUAUUGUUAAUAAGCUUUUUGUUUGCAAAAAAUACUUGCAGAAACAAUAGCACUCAUCUUUCUUGUGCUGGACAUCCCACUGAACACAGGGAGAUCACUCUUCUAAGUGCAAUUGCUCUGCUGAGGAUCAUUCUCUCAAAGGACAACUAGAUGACAAGAUUAAGCCAAGCUUCCAGAUCAGACCUGACUCACAGAACACAAAGCAGCCCAGGAACUCAGUUCAGCUGUUACGUAAACUUGGGUUCCGUUUGGCUUCUGCAACCUUAAAUGGAAUCUAUAAACUACCAAAGCUCCUCAAAUCAAAAGGAACUCAAGACUACGUUUCAUAUCUGGAUUUACAAACUGCAUGCUUUCUGCCUGGAUACCUCACCACACCCACAGAUUAUUUUUAAUGCUUUUCUCGUAAAAAGAAGACUUCUGUUAAAAUAUCGAAGGUUGAAUCAUGUUUAAAGACAGAAGGCAAAGGUAUACAGGAAAGCAUUAACCCUACUAAGCCAAGGGUCAUUCUCAGAUUUUUACUGACGUGACAUUGGAGAGUUCCUAGCAGAACUCAGUAAUGAAACAAUUCCUCAGAGUGACACAAGCAUGCUCCAUUUACAGGAGGAAAAACUGUAUCCUUGGAUCAAAUCUAGGGAACCAAAUGUCACAGUGGUUCCUAUCCACUGUUCAUACUUCAUCUACACAUAUAUACCUGUUCUGGACUUUCCCCUCGUAGCAUUCUAUGCUUGAGCUGGAGAAUUUAGCAGCUUGGUCAACAUUCCCUGGAUAUUAUCUCAAGUUACAUUAAAAAUAACUCUUAAAAAUUAAUGCUUUUGCAGAAGUUUUCUGGUGAGAGCACAGCAUUGCCAGAGCACAGGCUCCUGAAAAGAGGCUGAAGAACCAUUGGAUACGAAGCCAGAGCCCGUGCACAACGCCCUGCAAAUAGAGGUUUACAGCUUCUGCACUCAUUCCCUGAGAGAUGGACAGCUCAAGGAAGUAGAAGUACUGUGUUGGAGUCUUUCAGGAAGCAGAUCUGCUAAACCAGGGGCUUUGUCCAACACACACAAAAAAAAAAAAAAAAAAAAAAAAAAAAAUCCCCCUGAGAAACAAAGGAAGAUGUGAAGAGAUGAGUGAAAAGGCAGUGUGUCAGCAAAGGAAAGCUCUCCUAGCAGGACUGAGGGAAUGCUGUCCUCGAAGCUCUCCAUGAACUGUCUGAAAAGGCUUUCUGAUGGGAUCACAAAAAGCUCAAGGGGAAAAAAGGUCAACAGAAACAAGCAUAAAUUUCAGCAAAGACAAAGUCUGCAUCAUCUUUUACAUUUCAAGAUCCCUAUCUGCUUAGAAACUCGAUUGCUCAACUUCUAGUUUGCAUGUCUUUGACAACCUUCGUUGAAAUCAUAUGCAAAUACUAAAUUUAUUACAGUUAGGGGUAACGUGAGAUGCUUUCUUAUUCAUUUAAUCAUAUCCAUCUGUUAAUUCCAGAAGAUGGUAGCUUUGAAUUGUAUUGUUAUUUGCAUUACCAGGAAUUGGGAGUAACCUAAGUAUGUGGUUACUUCAGUUUUAUUGAAGGCUGGGUUUUUGUUUUGUUUUUUUUUUUACUAUUUUGCAUAUUAAAUGUAGACAACCUGAGAAUCUUGAAGGAGACUGAUGGCUUUCUGUUAUUCUCUUAUCACUUGUCACAUCAGAAUACUGAGACAGCUGGACCACCACUCUGAGUCAGUGUAGCUGACUGUACAUUAGACAUGUAUGUCAUGCAUAAAACCCAUGGAAGAUAUUCACACAAUACAGUAGCAGAUCUGCUUCCCACCAAAUAUUAUUCCUUUUCUCUAAAAGAAGACUGGACUCAUACAAGUAUUGUUAGUUAGCCAAGUUAGUUGAAAACUGGAGGUGAAGCAGCGUUGCCCCUCUUUGUACAGCAUUAUUAUGUUGGUUCAGAAGUAUCUUCUAGUUAUUUAUUUGAUAAACUCAAAAUACUGUGAAGCAGUUCUAGCUAAGGUAAUACAGUAAAAAACACUCUCAGGUCAGCUAGAGAGUGCCUGCAUGGAGCUGCGCAGCUGUCCCAUUGCCCAGAGCAGUGCUGGUUACAGCAUACGGGCAGCCUGAGGAGAUGGGCUACACCCCUGAAUGCGCCACUGCAUUUCCAUAAGCAUUCAUUGUGUUCUUUCCAUUAACAAUACAUUUUAAAGUUGAAAACCAUGAACAUGUAUGCUUGGAACAUUCAAUUUGGGAAAUUGGAAAAGUAUAUUCAUCUCCCGUGACUCCUUUUUCUCUACAUUCUUCUUUAAUAAGGUCUCAGUAUUUCAUAGCCACUGAAGAAUUCAAAGAAUGCCAUUAACCAAGAU
ensembl:lncRNA